CUCAACAUGGAGGCACAUUCCUAGAAAUUUUGGAGCCAUAUAUUUUAAAAGACAUGCUUGGAAGUCUCCCCACUGAGAUUAUGCAAGCUUUGGUAGAGCAUU